ensembl:lincRNA 1700001G01Rik RIKEN cDNA 1700001G01 gene
UUGGGACAUUUAUUGAAGGACAAUAUCUGGAUAUAUACCCGGGGAAGAGCUAAGAUUGUAAUGCAAAUAGGCAUUCCAAUGCAGCAUGUACUAAGAAAACACUAAAGACUGCUCAAAGAAACAAUUCCUGGUCUACAUUGUCACUUGAACAUUGAAAUGGAAAACUGAUUAGAACAUACUGCGUGUUAAAAACAUCAUGCAAAGGACACGAAAGGCAACAUUGUCAAGGCAUUUUGGAGGGUGCAUCAGCUCACUUCUUGAAAAAUAAGAGAAGAUGGAAUCCUGCUUUUCCUUUCAGGGUAAAAAAUAGUCUCCACGAAAGAAAAAAAAUCUCAAUGAAGAACUCCAGACAGAACGCUGGGCAGAAUGAAGUCCACUGGUUUGCCAUUAUGAUGAAUUUAAGUAUCCAGCCACCCAUCCCAUGAAAGCC